rnacentral:tRNA from 1 species
GGUAGGAUGGCUGAGUAAUUAGGCAGAAGGCUGUAAACCUUCUUACGGAGAUCUUAACUCCUCCUAUCA